AAAGUGGUUUAAUUCUGGCCAUAAAGUUUAAACGAAGUUUGGUUUUCUCAUGUAAUUUAUAAAGUAAAUAAGAAUUGAUAAAAGCGGAGGGGUGCAGUGGGUAAGAUUAGAAGAAUUGGYUAACCCAGAUCUAGCAAAAAGUUGACAAAGUUAGUGCCAGCAGUCGCGGUUAGACUAYAAACYAAAAACUUAGUUUUAUAAAGCUAAACUUUUAUAUUUUAAGAUUUUAAUUUUCGGUGAAAUAGAAUUUAAAGGUUUUUGAUUUAGAAGUGGGAGUAAGCGUAAAAAAAUGAUGAUAUAAAAUAGGAUUAGAUACCCUGGUAUACUUCAUUAAAUUUAAGGUAGUAAAAGAUUCUUAAGCUUCAAACCUAAAGRAUAUGGCRGUGYUAAAAUUAAUCAGAGGAAUCUGUCAGUUAGUUGACUUUACACAUUAAAUUUUACUUUUUUAAAGUUUGUAUAUCGUCGUUUAAAUUACUUUAAAAAAUGUGUAUUGGGAGUAAUAUUAUAAAAAUAUCAGAUCAAGGUGCAGCGGAUAAAAGAGAAGAAGAUAGAUGACAAUUAAGAAAGAAAUGGAUUUAGAUUUGAAAUUAUUUAAUAAAAUAGGAUUUGAAUGUAAUUAUUUGUUAGAAUUAAGUAAUGAAGGUAUAAUUUARCAUGUACAUAUUGCCCGUCACUYUCAWUGAUUYCAYUGARAUAAGUCGUAACAMAGURRGUGUACCGGAAGGUGUAUUUAUUUAUUU
rnacentral:ncRNA from 1 species